rnacentral:rRNA from 1 species
AGUUUAAUAUAAAUAACCAAUAAUUGAAAUAAUUUAAUAAAUGAUAAACAAACAUUGUUAAAUUUAGUAAAGGUGGUUGAGAGUUAAUAUUUUGUAUAAAAACAGUACUGUAAAGGAAUCUAUAUAACUAAAAAUUAGAAAUGCUUAAAACUUGUACCUUUUGCAUCAUGGUUUAACUAGAUUAAGCCCUAAAUUGGAAGUCUCGAAACCUAAUGAGCUAUUCUUAGUCUGUUUUAUAGAUCUUCAAAAUGAGUUGGUUGUGGCAAAAACCUCUUAAGAAUUAAGAAUAGAUAUGAAAUUUUAUUCGCAUUAGAUGAUAGCUAGUUCUUUUUUAAAGGUAUAUUAGUACCUAGAAUCAUAUAUUUAAUAUUAUGAAUUAAAACACAUAACUAUUAUUAUUGAUUUAUUGAGACUUUUGAGGAUAAGCUCGAAAGUUAAUACUAAAACUUGUAUUUAAUUUUUCUUGAGACAUAAGCUUAGUAAUGGCUACUGACAAGGAAUUUGUUAUAAUUUAUUUUUCAAAUAUAAAUAUAAUGUAUUUACUUUAAUUCAUGUAAGAAAGAAAUUUUGGUAACCUAAGCAUAAAAUAAUUUCAUGUUAAGAUGAGUAUUAAAAUAUUUAUUAAAAUUAAGCUAAUAAAAUAAAACUUAGAGCUAUAUAAAAUAUUAUAAAGACGAAAUCAUAAAAAGGAACUCGGCAAAAAAGUAUUCUGCCUGUUUAUCAAAAACAUGGCUUCGUGUCAGUUCUAAAAUACGAAGUCGGACCUGCCCAGUGAGUUUUAAACGGCCGCGGUACUCUGACCGUGCAAAGGUAGCAUAAUCAUUUGCCUUAUAAUUGAAGGCUGGAAUGAAUGGUUUGACAAGAAUACGCCUGUCUCUUUUAGAUUGCUUAGAAUUUUAUUUUUGGAUGAAAAAGUCCAGAUAUGAUUAAAAGACAAGAAGACCCUAUCGAGCUUUAGAGAAGUUAAUAGAUUUGAUUUAAACUAAUAUAAGUAAAAGUAAAACUAUUAAAUACUUUGGUUGGGGCAACCGAGGAGCAGAAAAAGCUUCCUUUAAAAUAAUAAAUCUUGCUUGUGCUGAUCCAAAAUUUUUGAUCAAAGAAAUUAGUUACCGUAGGGAUAACAGCAUCAUUUUUUUCAAGAGCUCAUAUCGAAAAAAAAGUUUGUGACCUCGAUGUUGGACCAGAAUACCCCAAAGAUGCAGAAGUCUUUAAAGGUUGGUCUGUUCGACCAUUAAAAUUCUACGUGAUCUGAGUUCAGACCGGCGUGAGCCAGGUCAGCUUCUAUCUUUAUUUUUUUGGUUGUCUCUAGUACGAAAGGACCGAUAUAACAUAUAAAAUAUUUUUAUUAGAUUAAGUAUAAUUUAGCUUUGAA